rnacentral:tRNA from 1 species
UCGGGGAUCGGCUAACGGUAGGCUGCCUGGCUUUGAACCAGGUGGUGGAGGUUCAACUCCUUCUCCCCGAA